ensembl:misc_RNA Metazoa_SRP Metazoan signal recognition particle RNA
GCUGGGCAUUGUGGUGGGUGCCUGUAAUCUCAGCUACUCGGAGGCUGAGGCAGGAGAAUUGCUUGAACCUGGGAGGCAGAGGUUGCAGUGAGCCAAGACUGCACCACUGCACUCCAGCCUGGGUGAAAGAGCGAGACUCUGUCUCAA